rnacentral:rRNA from 1 species
UCGAGAAUCAUUCGCAAUGGGCGAAAGCCUGACGAUGCGACGCCGUGUGAACGAUGAAGGCCUUCGGGUUGUAAAGUUCUUUCGCUAGGGAACAAGAGAGAGUCACGAACAAUGGCUCGAUUUGAGGGUACUUAGUAAAGAAGCACCGGCUAACUCCGUGCCAGCAGCUGCGGUAAUACGGAGGGUGCAAGCAUUAAUCGGAUUUAUUGGGUGUAAAGGGCAUGUAGGCGGAUAGGUAAGUCAAGCAUGAAAUUUCGAAGCUUAACUUCGAAGCUGUGUUUGAGACUGCUUGUCUUGAGGGUGGACGGAGAAAAUGGAAUUCCAAGUGUAGCGGUGGAAUGCGUAGAUAUUUGGAGGAACACCGGUGGCGAAAGCGGUUUUCUAGUUUAUCCCUGACGCU